UCGAGCAAUCGCAUUCAUUUGGAAUAUUAGCAUAAAGCAAUCAGAAAUACACCAUGUUCUAUAGCACAAUUGCUGCAGAAGCAUAAUUACAAGUUUAAGUACAUAUCCUUCUUUUUAUAAAAAAGAGGUGAAAAGGGCAUAGUUACAGUAAGUGAACUCUGCACUUUGUGAAAGAAUAAUGAACCAGAGCAGGAAAUGACAGGGGCGGACAAGUGUUGCGCGCCAAAUAUAUGAUGACACGCAAUGUAUCUGUUAAAUACGAAAUAAGUUGCUUACAAUUUAAGGACAACGAACUGAAUAUAUUGCAUUAGCAAAACAGAGCACGGUAGUGUAAUGUGUGUACUGUACUUGUAAGAUCAGUCACUAAUCUGAUUCUAAUCUGCUAGGAGUUUUGGCUACAACAUCAUAUUGUAAGGUAAAAAGAGAGCUCUAAAGACGUUGUACAAUCAGCCUUAAACAAUCUCCCUUAGCACUGAAAUCGGAAACACACACACCAACUUGUUUGAUCUUGGUUUUUCUUAUUUGGUCUUGAUGGCUGCUAAUUGUUCUUGCCCAUCAUAAGCCGAUUAUUCUUCAUUUUACUGCAUUGACAUCUCAUUGGCAGUUUUAUCAACUGAUCGUUUUGUAAACCUUGGUCCUUGCUCAUGAACUGAUUUGACCUAUUUUAGAGUUAACAAUAUAAAUAUUUUAAAUGGGGAUGAUAAAUUGGUGAAGGUAAAGUAUUUUAUUUAUUUGAUAACAGACAAUUAUAUUGAGCAGCAGACCAUCGCAAACCAUUAUACUAAGUAUCAUAAAACCCCUUCUCUUAAAGUUUUAUUAAGAAUACUAUUAGCCAAGAAGCAUCUGGUCAUGAAAUGCAAAUUAGCAACAAGUGCUUAUCAUAAGGACAACAGAAGAAGCAUACACAAAGAAAGAAAAAACAGCUCCAUGCUUCUGAAAUUUGACAAAAUAGGUUGGCUUUUCUAGUUCUCGUAAGUUCACAAGAGAGAACAAAAAUAUAUGUAAUCAAACGGAUCAUCACUUCAAUAUAUCUGGGAAGUGAACUUUCAAAAAAAAAACUGGGAAGUUCAUUCUUACCCGUCUUGAGAAAUGUUAGAUUAAUGUUCACUAUAUUAGGAGAAAAACCUGCAAUGCAUAAUCUCAAUUAUAUCAGUAUGGCUCUUGUUUAUUAUCAAGUAAUUUACAUAAUCUAUCCAACUAAAUGUUCAUUUCUGUGACAUUGUAAGAUUAGCAGGGAUAGUUAUUGAUAAAUUUUACAAAAACUAAGAGACAUAAUUAGGUUUAUAAUAUGAAAAGUGAAAAAAAAAUCUUAUCUCUUUCUGAAAGAAUAAAUUAAAAAAGAUGAGCCAGCAAAAGAUAUUGAUUUUGCUUUACAACUUGAACACCACAAAAGGGAACAUCUUACAGAAGUUUGUAAACCACCUAAAAAUGCUUGUUGUUGUACUGCUCUCAUAAAAACACUUCAUGUCUGCAUUUACAUGUUUAACUUUAGAAGAUCAGUGUAAAAGGAACAUUAUAAAAUCAAAAUGCACUAUGCAUCACCACAGCAGGAGGAUGCCUGCAGCCCAACAACAUUUAUGUUAUUUGCUUGGUCAUAUAUGUCAUAAGUUAACUGUGCAAAACUUUAUAGUCGAAUCUGGUCCAUCUUAGAACCCACAUGACCAGUUGAAAAUGUGCGGUAAUGAUACACUUACCUCAAGCAUUCAACACCAACAGGUAGCAUCACCUAGCCCUUUGUCCUAAAUUUUAGCUAAGUUGAAGUCCCGCAAUGACCAGGUUUAUCAUUGGUGCCUCCCACUAAGUGUUACACAAAUUGAAUUUGUAAAUAUCUAGAAAUUAUAAGCUCAAGAUUGAUUUUUUUGGCUAACAAUACACUGAUAUUAUGGCACCUAUUUAUUUAUUUUGUCAAAAGUAGCAGUUUCCCUUAUCGGAGUUACACCGUAUCAUGGGCAACCUAAAGGCAAGGAUGU
rnacentral:lncRNA from 1 species